GGCCCCCGUUAGAGGGUAAAGAGACACCUUGUUGGUGCUGUUGAUCUUGUAUCAGUCAGGAGCAGAGCAGUUGGUAGUCCUUUGUUCAUCCGAGGUUGAUGCCUGGCUUGGUGGCUAAAGUGGACUUAUGCCUAGGACUCACAA